AAAAACUUAGGAUUGAGUGACAAGAACCUAAACAAAAUAUGAAUUAUUUUUAGUCCCUUAAAGCAGUAUGUUCCUCUAUAGUGGCAUGCUUCAUGUUGCUUUUUGCAAUUCGGUGAUACAUCUUAUUCAGUAAUUCGAUGAUCUCUCAAUUGAUGAAAAGAGGACGGAAUUAUGGCUAUAUCAGAUAACAACAUAUUCAUGGUCAUCUCUGGAAUAGAUAUUGUAUAUCGGUCAACCAAAUUAGGAUGGCGUCAGUAAAACCUUUCGAGGGGGUAACUUCAAGUUCACAUUUAGAAACCCUUGGUUUUACUGCUUUACUUGUAAGCAGAAAAUCUCUAUCAAACACAUAAUAAUAGUCAACACAAGCUCUUGCAUAUGCAGGCACUGGCUGGAUGUAGCUGCAUAUCAAUAGUAAUUAGAAAUAGUGAAAUCAACUUUUAGUUAUAAAGUUUACCGCUCAAAGGACUCUCAUUGUCAAUCUUUAAACGAGAGCCCAGUUGUGUCUUUGUCUAUGUUAUCCUAUUUCUGAGGUUUUAAUGGAUAAUUGCGUUAAACAUAGCCACUAAACUUAGUGAAUUAUUUAGCAAGAGGAC
rnacentral:lncRNA from 1 species